CGGCGGACGGGUGAGUAACACGUGGAUAACCUACCUAUAAGACUGGGAUAACUUCGGGAAACCGGAGCUAAUACCGGAUAAUAUAUUUGAACCGCAUGGUUCAAUAGUGAAAGACGGUUUUGCUGUCACUUAUAGAUGGAUCCGCGCCGCAUUAGCUAGUUGGUAAGGUAACGGCUUACCAAGGCAACGAUGCGUAGCCGACCUGAGAGGGUGAUCGGCCACACUGGAACUGAGACACGGUCCAGACUCCUACGGGAGGCAGCAGUC
rnacentral:rRNA from 1 species